CGCACCUUGCGCUCCUUGGUAUUCCGAGGAGCAUGCCUGUUUGAGUGUCAUUAAAUUCUCAACCCCUCUAGCUUUUGCGAGCUGUGAUGGGGCUUGGAUAUGGGGGUUUGCGGGCCUGCAGAGGUCGGCUCCCCUGAAAUGCAUUAGCGGAACCGUUUGCAGUCCCGUCACUAGUGUGAUAAUUAUCUACACUGUGAUGAUUGCUCUCUGACUAGUUCAGCUACUAACUGUCCACUUUUGGACAACACUUAAUGAACUUCUUGACCUCAAAUCAGGUAGGACUACCCGCUGAACUUAA
rnacentral:misc_RNA from 1 species